rnacentral:rRNA from 1 species
CUGGACCUUACAACGAGUAGCAUGCCUGGAGAUCUUAGCCGAUGGAUAAUGAAGCAUUACAACCCUGAGAUUUCGAAGAUAGUCAUUCCAGAAAGAGGGAAGAUUCAUGUAGAUGUCGCAAGUGUCCGUAGGAUAUGGGGUUUGCCAAAUAGCGGGAGGAAGGUGUGCUUUGAGAACCAGCCUGAAAUCACAAAGGCCAUGUACAACAUUUACAAUAUCACCUCCAGAACUCCCCAACACUCACAACAUGGUGCAAGAUGA